UUUUCUUUUCUAUUCUUUUCUUCCUCUCUCUCCCCCUCUCCCCAACGCACGCCCCUUCUCCCUUCUUCUCUUUUCCUUCUCUUUCUUCUCCCCUUUCUCUUCUUCCCUGCACGCACAACUCACCCCCUCCCCUGUUUCUUCUUUCCUUCUCCACCCGACGCCCUCUCUUUUCCUUUCUCCCUCUCUUCUCUUCCCAUCUCUUUUGCUCAGUAGCACUUGCCGACCCAAGUGUGGGAGAGAGCUUGAGUCGUGAGAGGGAUGAGCCGAUCCAGGUGGAACCCGUGUGUGUGAGUUGCCGAGGGAUAUUUUCUUGCAGAACUAAGUGACCAAAAAUGUUAAAUAGUCAAGGCACGUAAGGUGGAGACUUCAAUUGUUCUCCAACGGUGAGUUCAAGGUAACUAGAACGUGGGGGGAUAUUCGAGUCAUGAAUCCAAUGCAGCCAAGGUACUCUGGUCGUAGUUGAUGACGUUGUAGAAGUGUACUUGGGAUAUUAUGAUUGAAGCUCGCUACAACGGUCGUAAUUGGUGGACCAUGAGUUUUCCAUUGUCUUAUAGGUUUUGUUUAUGGCUUGUGACGCUUGUGUCACUUGUUGUUGUAUAAGUCAUUUCUGUUAUGUAUUUAUAUUAAGGAAUGAUUUAAACAAAUAGAUAUUAAAUGGCUCUUGUUGUUGUUAAUUUGUGAUAUAAGUAUAAGAUGUGAUUUUCGCU